GGGCCAGGUGAGUCGCAGGCCGAGCCGAGCUCGGGUGAGGCACCGGCGGAGCUGUAGUCAGGGUCUCCGAUCCGGCCGGGUCCGCACACUGUGCCGACACAUCAGUUCCCUCAGCUCCAACUUGGGAGGCGGGAAACAUCGCUCCGCUUCACAGAUGAGAAAACUGAGGCUGAGCAGUUGCUUCGCUGAUUCAGACUCAGAGGCUCCGGCUGGGGGUGCGGGCCCGCUCAUCACAGGGGAUGGACCCCCAAGACUUAAUAUGCCCAAAACUUAAAUCAGCCUCCAAAAUCGCCAGUUAGGGGAGAGGCCCUGGACGCUUUCACUUUUCCCAAACCUUGGCCCGGCGCCACUGUCAACAGCACUGGCUUGGGGGUUCCCCAGGGCCUGGCAGAAGCAUCUGAAGGUGGAGUGUUGGUUUAUGGGGGCCCUGUGGAUACCACUUCGCUUUCCAAGGAGGCCAGUGAGGAGGAGCUGUGUGUUCCAGCUAGAGGGGACCGCAUGUGCAAAGGCCCUGAGGCAGGAACAGCUUGGCAUGUUUGAGGAGCAACCCUGAGGCUUUUGUGGCUGGAGCAGAGACAAUGAGGGUGGCGUGGAGCGGUAUGAGAUGAGUUCCUGAGGGCAGCGGGGCCAGGCCACAAGAGUCUUUCAGGCACCCCAAGUUCCUUUCAUGUCCUGGGCUGGAUGAGUGCUGGGACUCAAGCGUGAGUCAGAAAUGGCCCUGGCUGUCAGGGAACACACGGUGAUGGGUCAAGAAGGACACAUGGACACCUGGUGUAGGCUGAUGAGGGCUGCCAGAGUUUGGAGGAAGCCCCUCUCCCAGCCUGUGGUAGGUAGGGGAUCUGGGGGCAUCCUAAUGCUUUUGACUGUAACAGACAGAAAACCCAGCUCUGAACCAGCCCAAAAGUCCAAGCGGCCAUAUUGGCCCAUGUAGCUGAAGUGGUCUGGGGAUGCUAUGGAGAUCAGGUAUGGCUUGAUCAAGGCUGAGCAAUUUCCUGCCCUUUUUGUGGGCUGCUGGAUCUUCGGGGUGGCAGCAAAUUGGCUCCAGCCAUUCCAGGCCUCAUCUUUAUACACAGCUGUGUGGAGAGAAACUCCUCCAGUGGCCCUCUCAGGACAGCAAGUGAUCUUCUUUCCCAGAAGCACCUGGAAAGCUUUUCCUGAUACCUCACAGGCCUGAAUGAACCUAUAUCUGUGGCCAGGAAAGUUGCCGUGUGCUGAUUGGCUCAACUUGGCUUCCUCAACAAACCUUUGAGAGGGGAGAUAGGCUUCCUCUUAGGUAAUCAGGCAGGCUGGGAGGUGGGGUGGGUCAGCUCUUUGCAGCUGGAGGGCUGUGCAGGUGAGGGGUGCACACCUGAGCGAGCACCUGGGUACCGUGGGCAGGGCCACAGGGAUGCUGGGGAGGGGAACGGCCCCAAGUCUCGAGGUUGGUGUCUACAAGAACCACAGGUCUCUCUGCAGACCCCCCUUGUCUUUUCAGAGUGCCCACUGUCCCUGGGACUUGUGGGCAGGCCUCUGACAAAGUCCUGUAGCAGAUCACAGCUCAUUUGGACCUUGCUGCUGCCACGUUUGGGUGUCACGCCCAGGUUCCAGUGGCUUCUGGCCCCGCUACCUGCACAAAUGAUCUACACCUGCCUUCUCGCCAGUGUCGGGGACCCAAUGGUGUUUGUGAUCAAGAGUGGGUAGUGGGGUCUGUAUAAAUAAAUUUGUGACAUAGCUGAGACAAAAGGGUGAAAAUUACUCUUCGUGGGGUGCAACCCAGAGACUCUGGAAUCCUAACUCAGGUGGCCCCCUUCUCAGCCCCUGCCCCUUAUGCCUUGACUUUGCCCCCCCGCCCAGGUGGGACCCUGUGCCAGCCCCCUUCUCUCUGGGUCUCCGUGACCGCCCUGUAAAUAUAGGGUUAGGCGUGGAUGGCCCUGAGCCCACCUCUCUUCCCCGCAG